AAGUAAGAUCCCUGAAAGAUGAUCAGGUAGAUAGGAUGGAAGUGGAAGUGCUGCGAGGCAUGGAGCGGACCAUUACUAAUCGAUCGAGGACUUAACCAAG
rnacentral:rRNA from 1 species